UAAAACGUAGGAGGCGAGCGUUAUCCGGAUUUACUGGGCGUAAAGCGCUUGCAGGCGGUUUGGUAAGUCGGACGUGAAAGCUCCCGGCUCAACUGGGAGAGGUCGUUCGAAACUGCCAGACUAGAGGGCAGCAGAGGGAGGCGGAAUUCCGGGUGUAGCGGUGAAAUGCGUAGAUAUCCGGAGGAACACCAGUGGCGAAGGCGGCCUCCUGGACUGUCCCUGACGCUAAGACGCGAAAGCUAGGGUAGCAAACGGGAUUAGAAACCCCGGUAGUCCUAGCCGUAAACGAUGCACACUUGGUGUUGGUGGCGUAAGACCCAUCAGUGCCGCAGCUAACGCGAUAAGUGUGCCGCCUGGGGACUACGGUCGCAAGGCUA
rnacentral:rRNA from 1 species